rnacentral:sRNA from 1 species
CUGAGCCAUCUCUCCAGCCCAGGACUGACCUCUUCAUGUGUUUCAGUACUUCAUAGAUGGGUACAUACUGGGGUAGACCAACUCAAAGCCCUUGAUCUGAGCCUGGGCGUACUUGAGCCAACUUUCCUGCCAACUUUCCUGUGCCCAUGCCAUCGGGGUCAUCUCUCCCACACACACUGCUGCCACAAGGGGUGGGGCCAGCUCUUCUGCACCCAUGCCAUUGGGGUCAACUCUGCUGAGCCCUCAUGACUACCAAGUGGUAGAUGAGUGUCAAGAACAGCUCUGACAUGCCUAUGUCACUGCUGGGGAGAAUGGGUGGUGCUGAUAGAAGGCAGAGACAGCUUAGAGCACCCCUGCGACAUCAAACUUGUUUCAGGCUACAGUACAGAUCACUGUUAUCCUCAUAGAUUUUGGUGUUAGCACGGGUAAGGGACUCCCACUGCAGCAGCAUCAUGGACCCAGAGGUAGCAGCAUAAGCAACGGAUCAUCAUGGCCUCUGGUGACCGCAUAGGCCCCUCACAUCACCACAAUCACAUCAUCUCCAGUUCUAUCUCUCUUCAUAGCCCACACACUGCUGGCCUUUUCUUUCUCUCCCAUCUCCACAGCACAUAUGUGUUCAUCUGCACGGGCCAUGUGUGGCUCAGGGUUUCUCUGGGUACUUUCUAAAAAAUAAAAAUUAAGCGAAGAUUUCCUUAAGUGGAGAUGACAUAGUAUAUUAAGUAACCAAGUAAUAUUCUGCUAACCAUGCACCAACCAUCAGGGAAACCUCACACAGGCAGUUUGUAGGACUGUGAUCGUUAUCCGGUGGAUUUUCGGUUAGGAUGAAUCCAGUUCUACCCUACUUCUUCAAGUUCCUCAACAUAGUGAUUGCCGCACAUCACUGUUCACGCAAUGAAUAGGGACCCAGCAGAAGAGAACACUAGCUCUGUUCUUGGGAACAUAGAGGAGAUAGUAUGUGAAAAGUGAGCUCAUCACCUUAAAACUGAAGCAUGUGGUACUAUGGAUUCCCCACGUCAUAGGAGAAUCUCCUCUGAAGUCUCAUAUCACCAUCCCGAGACUGUGUCAAGUCAGCUUGGGCAUUGGGUAUGAUUCAUUUCUAUAUUUCCAAAAAUGAGUACUAGAAACAAAAACUCAUGUUAAAAGUAGCUAAGUACAGCAUAGUAGCCAAGGAAGUACUGACUGGUGGACAAGGACGUGAACCUGGGAUGUUCUACAUUUCAUGAAGGUUAUCACCUGUACUCUAAGUUAGAUAAAUAGGUCAAUUGAAAGUACAGGAGACGACAGGUGGACAACACAAAUGAAUCGAGGAACUUCACGAAUCGUUAGCAGUUGGUUUCUAUUUCAGUGCUCAGUGUUUUCUAUUAGUACAACAGUUGGUAGGUAAACAAGAGCAACACCGGAAGACGCUACACUGCUAGAUACUUGGAAGUCAAAAGUGCAGUGGGAGAAUCUGCUAUGGAGCGCGCAUGCUCAGGAGAGUAUUUUGUCAUUAGCUUACUGUUGACGCUGAUCACGUUGCACAAAGGCUUCAGCUAAAGAAACAAACAAGAAAACUCCAGUGGAAAGUAAGAAUGACGUCUAUCUAAGGUCACCAUGGGUACUGUUAUCUCUGGUGCAGCAAGUGAACAUUUCCUGUCUUCUUAGCAGGCAUCAGGGUAUGCGCUAAAUGUCUUCUGUGAGUAAAUUACAAUCCUCACUCAAACAAAACAAAAGAGGAGUUUUUACAAGUGACACUGAAGCACAAAAUGGUGGACACUCGGUCAAGAAAAUCGUGGAAGUAGGAAACUGGAAUGCAGUGUCUAGCUGCUCAUUCCCCACCGCCAACUCUGUGUUCAUAGCUGCUCAUCUUCUUACACUGACCCACUACACCUAUCUUGGGAGAUCAAAUGGAAUUGAAGCCUGAGCUGGAAGUCAACAGAUUCCCUAGAGCAUGCACCUCUACAAAGGAAACACAAGAGCAUGGGAGAAGGCUUUCACCAUAAGGAUGGAAAAUUAACACUCCUCAGGCAGAGUCAGGAGGGUGUUUUCUCCUCCCCACUCCUGAUGCCCAGCAGUCACUGAAUGUAGUCAAAGAGCAUGGUGCUGGUACGCGUGCCUGUGCACUGACACCCACACUUUCCUGAGACAGCGAACAUACGAUGUUCUCAGCUCUUUUUCUCACUCAACCUAUAUUUUGGAGUGCUCUAUAGAUCUUUCAAGUAUCCCAGGAGCUGAGCGUAUGGCAUUAGCUGAAUGAAAAGAAGUACAUACAGGCUAGGAAGGAGAGUGCCACACCCUUGGGAUGAUAGGCAAGUGGUCUUCCUAGGCUGAUGUGUAAAUACAGAGCUGUUGACUCAUUCUCCAUAUUAACGGCUCCAACUUAGUGUUAAUAAAAUGAUUGUGGGAAAUUUCUUUCUUUUCUGGUAAAGUAUAAAUCAAGGAGGGCUUUCAGACACUAACUUCUCUCCAGAACUCUGUUUUGGUUAAAUUCCUUUUCUCUUUAUUUUAUUUAUGCCCGUCAUUCUUGGAAUUAUUUUGGGGUAUUAUUUUAUGAAGAAAGCACAGUAAUUAUCAAAAUUCCCCAAUAAGAUCCAGGCAAGAGCUGCCUUCACCUUUGUCCAUACGCUCAUUCUAACAUGUUUCCGCCUCUCAGCACUGGAGUGGAGGCAUGUGCUUGCCGUCACAUCAAGCAUAUACUGUGAGCACAGCAAAAUUCGACAGUGUCAGCUAACGACUAAACCAGAGUUGCAGAAGGAAGACGUGUUACAGGGAGACGCUCAAAAAAAAAUGUGUAAGGGGCCCAUUUUAUUUCCAAAGAAAAAUUUUAUUUCAAAGAAAGAAUAUUUAGCCAUAUUAGGUUUUUUAAGGAAUUACAUAUGAUUAACUCUUUACAUUAUCUUAUGGCAAUUAUACAGAAAUUUCUAUUUAUGUAAAUAAAGUAAAUUCAUCGUAACACCAGAAAAAAGUAUAUAAAAAUGGCAUGUCAAAUUAGGAUAUAUGCAUUUUCAGGGGAUGUGAUUUUCUAGCUAAACAGAUUAGUUUACAUUUUCCAAAAUAAAAAAUAAGUGGAAAUAACUAUAUAAAAUGAGGCUUACAGCUGGACAGAUCUUCUUGGCAGUGGUCCAGACACUGAAUAAGAAAAGCCCCUCCAGCUGAGGGGAGUAUAAGAUUCUCAGGACCAUUUUACAGGCCUGGCAUGGGAAGGAGGCCUUGGAAGGACUGCCUUAGCUAUGCAUCCUGAACUUGACUGCUACCUGUAGACAAGCACAACACAAACCACCCUGUGAGACUCACGCUGAGUGUGGCAGCAGUAGGGAACACUCUUGCUUAGUAGAAGAAAAACAGCAACAUAGCAACAUAAGACGAAGAUACCCAAAUUUUCCGCCCCAGACCAAAAAAACAAAAAAAAAAAAAACAAAAAAACCAAAAAACAAAACAAAACAAAAACAAAAACAAAAAAAAAAAAACAAAAAAAGAAAAAAAACAAAGAAAAAAAACAUAACAGAGAGUAGGAAAUUCCUAACUAAAAAGCAUGCGGUCAUUGCAGUCAUUGCCAUUCAACGCUAGGAUUUGAGAACCAUGGAUGGUUUGAUCGAAUACUGAAGCCCAGAUAACGAUUUCUUGGCUAAUGGGCGUGAAGCUGUUCUGAUGCUGAGAUUCAGACCUUUGCUACCGAAAUCUGAUGCUUAUUCCCAAGAUAAGUGAAACUCGACCUUCAAGAGUAAGCAUGAUGUCAAAGUGGCUCUCUAGACCCACAUCUUUACAAAAGUGCAUGGUACGUUUGAGGUGGCCAAUGCUUGGAAUAGCAUUCCCUUGCUUAGUGGUGUGCUUGGAAGCAUAGAGCUUGUUAAAACACUUCAACAGCACUCUGUGGGCAACUGGUUAUGCAGGGCAGUUUAUUUAUCUCUCAGCAUUAAGAGAAUGCAUUGGAUCAUCUUUUCUGUGUUUCCUCAAUACCCAUUUGCUGUUUGUUUUUGUUGAUGCAGCAGCGACUUUAUCCUCGGUCUUUUGGCUCUGACUUGGGAGUGGGGGAGCGCCACAAUUUUGUACUUUUAAAAUGCGCAUGUGUAUUUUAAUUUAGAUGAUAACUCAGACUGUGUUUGUUGAACCAUUACUCAGACUGUGUUUGUUGAACCAUUACUCUUCUCCUCGUGGUACACACAUAAAAUUCCUUUUCACCUUCCACUGGAUGACUUGUCUGAAGCAGAAUGUGGAAUCCAUUGCUCGCUUUGUAAAUAAAGCUUUAUUGGAACGAA